AGUGACAACCAGCCGGGAGUGUCUAGGUGACCUUUGGAGAUCAAGAACAAAACUCUGGAGAGGCUGCAGACUCAGACGAAUUGUCUGCCCUCACCCCCAAAAUGAAUCCUCUGCAGCUCAAGAGGAAAGAUGGAAGAAGACCUAAAUGAUGAGCCCAGGUGACGGAUGGGUUUCUCUGAUUCAAGUGACCCCAGC